GACGAAAGAUGGAGGAGGGAGGAAAAAAGGAAAGUCGAACGGAAAGGCCCUGCUUUUGCGGGGUGCCAGAGUGGCGAACGGGUGAGUAACACGUGAGUAACCUGCCCUUGACUUUGGGAUAACUUCAGGAAACUGGGGCUAAUACCGGAGAGGAGCUCCUGCUGCAUGGUGGGGGUUGGAAAGUUUCGGCGGUGGGGGAUGGACUCGCGGCUUAUCAGCUUGUUGGUGGGGUAGUGGCUUACCAAGGCAGUGACGGGGCGCCGGCCUGAGAGGGUGACCGGCCACCUCGGGACUGAGAUACGGCCCAGUCUCCUACGUGAGGCAGUAGUGGGGAAUAUUGCACAAUGGGCGGAAGCCUGAUGCAGCGACGCCGCGUUCGUGAUUCCGUCCUUCGGGUUGUAAACCGCUUUCGCCUGUGACGAAGCGUGAGUGACGGUAAUGGGUAAAGAAGCCCCUGCUCCCUACGUU
rnacentral:rRNA from 1 species